GGAUAAGCGGAAGAAAUUCCGUCUAAUGCCAGGUAAUAACUCCGAGAGGCAUCUCCUGGGGUUUAAAGGGUAACCCGGCUACGGAUGGCCAUGCGGCGCAUUAGCUAGUUGGCGGGGUAACGGCCCACCAAGGCGACGAUGCGUAGGGGUUCUGAGAGGAAGGUCCCCCACACUGGUACUGAGACACGGACCAGACUCCUACGGGAGGCAGCAGUGAGGAAUAUUGGUCAAUGGGCGCGAGCCUGAACCAGCCAAGUCGCGUGAGGGAAGACGGUCCUAUGGAUUGUAAACCUCUUUUGUCGGGGAGCAAAAGACGCCACGCGUGGCGUUCCGAGAGUACCCGAAGAAAAAGCAUCGGCUAACUCCGUGCCAGCAGCCGCGGUAAUACGGAGGAUGCGAGCGUUAUCCGGAUUUAUUGGGUUUAAAGGGUGCGCAGGCGGAAGAUCAAGUCAGCGGUAAAAUUGAGAGGCUCAACCUCUUCGAGCCGUUGAAACUGGUUUUCUUGAGUGAGCGAGAAGUAUGCGGAAUGCGUGGUGUAGCGGUGAAAUGCACAGAUAUCACGCAGAACUCCGAUUGCGAAGGCAGCAUACCGGCGCUCAACUGACGCUCAUGCACGAAAGUGUGGGUAUCGAACAGGAUUAGAUACCCUGGUAGUCCACACAGUAAACG
rnacentral:rRNA from 1 species